CUCGAGUGGGUUCUUCGCGUCUUGCAUCAAGUGUCGCAUUAAACGAACCAGAAACUUGUCGACGACCAUAAGAUUUUUUAAACCUACAACCUCCGUGCGUAUAUUACUCGUCGUCAGUUUUAAUUACUCCAACUUGUACAUUAUCCCUUUUAUGCAUCAUAUUUUAUAUAUUUUUAUUUGCUUAUUCAACGUUGCGUUUUAUUCAGAUAUAAAUCAGUCGGAGUUUUAAAUAAAAUUCUAAAAUAAAGUUUUUUUUGCUUCCUCUUCCUGUCUGGUUUAUAAUUACACUGUGCGGAUGAUGAUCCGGAAAAGCUGGUGAUAUUCGUCAUGCCUACUGUCUUCUUACUCUCCCUCGCUCUUGACUCUCUCCACUGUGAUCAUCAUCGCAAGGGCAUGACUCGGUGGUUUAUUUUCACAAGAGGUCAUUUCAAUUUCCGGUUCCGGACAGUAUGUACCAAUUCUCACGUGACUAUAAGCAGCCCUCAGUUGGACACCAUCAAGAGGACGAAAAUUUCCACGUUCCGUAGAUGACA